rnacentral:lncRNA from 1 species
AUUCAUCCAGCCCAAACAAAAACCAAUAAAUAAAUAAAGUAGAAAGUCCAAUAAUACUAAGUCCAUUUACAAAAAUAAAUUGGCCUAAAUACAAAAAAAAAACCUUGAAAGCCCAAAACCUUAAAAAUUAACAGAAACCUUAGCUCUCUCUUGCACCACAGCCUCGUCACGCCGGCAGGUGUGCCACUCCUCUGCCACCACUACUGCAAAACAACAGAGAAAUAGAAGCAAAAAGCAAAAGCAUAAGCAGAAGCAAAAAAGAGAAAACAAAAAACAAAAAACAAUAUACCUUGUAAUAUAUUUGGCCAUAAAAGCCGAAAUCAUCUUGUAAUACAUUCAUCAAGAAAAAUUGAAUACAAAAAAGCC